GGGGGGGGGGGAGCUCUUCACUGAGACCAUGGACGAUACAGACUAUAUAACAAGGAUACAGGUUUGUAUGAGUACAAAGUGUUGGGUUCUCUGGCCAGCUGUGCUCCAGGUCUCUGCGCAGAUGUUUACAUGGAUCUGAACUACAGGAGACAGUGGGACUCGUAUGUCAAAGAUUCCCAUUUCUGCCCAAAGAUGUCACCUAGAGUGAAGACCGAAUGUCUGCAGCAGGCCACGGGAGACAUAUGAUUCUCAUUGUGUGGAUAAAAGGCAUCUGUUAUUCCCUGUCUUUUGUAUUUUUGGGAGCGCCGGAUUGGGUGGGUGGAACCACUUGUAUCAUGAUCCCCUCUCAUCCAUGUGGUGUUGCUUUAUGCUCCAUGGGUAUGGAUUCAUUGUAGUGAAAUUGAAACUUCAUGACAUGUCAUUGUUAUAAACCUAUAAAUAAUUUAUUUAGCCCUGAAGAGCGAUCGCUGCUUCAUAGGUGCCCAAUUGGCUGAGACAAGGUUCGUCUUUGACCCAGUUUGACCAUGUUGAAACAUUUUCCCUUUAUAUCUCUCAUGCGUGCUCGCAUUUAACUCUAGCCGCUUGUCAGCACGUUGCUUGGCCUGUUUUAAAAUUUUUGCUUCAUGAAAAAUCCAUAAAACUUCACAUGCCGCAAUG